rnacentral:lncRNA from 1 species
CCAGCGAGAUUCCUGGAGAGUGGAUAAGGACGGGGCAUGAGCACAGCAUGUGGUGUGUGUGUGUUUGUGUGUAUGUGUGUGUGUGUAUGCUCAGGGCCCUCACUCACCCAGUGCCUGGGAGCCCCCGGCGUGCCCCGGGCCCCUCACCCAGAAGAUGACAUUGCUGCGGGCACGGUCGAAGCGCAUCUGCAGCCUUGCCAGCUCAUUGUUUUGCUGCAGGAUCUCAUCAUCCUUUUCCUCCAUGUAGCGCGCCAGCCGGGCCUUGGCGCGCUCAAUCUUCUCCUGGCCUUCCUGCGCAGACUGCAUGAGGUCGUGGCGCAUGCUCACCAGCGUCUUGUAGCGUGCAAUCACCUCAUGGAUCUCCUCAAACUGUGGCCAGGGGCUCAGAGGACAGAGGUUUAAUCCAAAGUCAAGAGGUGGCCCUGGGGCUGGAGGGGCAGACAGGAAAUGGUUCUUUCCUGUGGGACUUGGGCUCUGGACUUCAGAGAGUGGACUGGGGAAGACCUACAUUGCACUGGGCUCACAGUCUGGAAGAACUCAACUCCCCGAGAAGACUGAGAAAGUCCAGAAGUGGGAGCAAGAACCCUCCUGACAAAGCUUCUGUGGUUUCUGUUCUUAGUGGUGGCCAUUUUCCAUGGAGCAGAAGGACCACUCCCGGACUAGAGCUGGGAGGCGAGAAUUUUCUCCGGAU